rnacentral:rRNA from 1 species
GACGAACGCUGGCGGCGUGCCUAAUACAUGCAAGUCGAACGCAGUGGGGACGGGUGAGUAACACGUGGGUAACCUCCCAUCAGAGGGGAUAACACUUGGAAACAGGUGCUAAACCGAUACUGAUGGAUGAACCCGCGGUGCAUUAGCUAGUUGGGGAGGUAACGGCUCACCAAGGCCACGAUGCAUAGCCGACGGGAGAGGAUGGUGUGCCACACUGGGACAUAGACACAGCCCAGACUGCUACGGGAGGCUGCAGUAGGGAAUCUUAGGCAAUGGACGAAAGUCUGACCAGGCAACGCCGCGUGAGUGAAGAAGGUUUUCGGAUCGUAAAACGCUGUUGUUAGAGAAGCGGUAUCUAACCAGGAAGCAACGGCUGACUGCGUGCCAGCAGCCGCGGUAGUAC